UACGUAGGGAGCAAGCGUUGUCCGGAAUCAUUGGGCGUAAAGCGCGCGUAGGUGGCCACAUAAGUCCGUUGUGAAAGUCAAAGGCUCAACCUUUGAACGCCGAUGGAUACUGCCGGGCUAGAGUCCGGAAGAGGCGAGUGGAAUUCCUGGUGUAGCGGUGGAAUGCGCAGAUAUCAGGAGGAACACCAAUAGCGAAGGCAGCUCGCUGGGACGGUACUGACGCUGAGGCGCGAAAGCGUGGGGAGCGAACAGG
rnacentral:rRNA from 1 species